AUACAUGCAAGUCGAACGAGCUUCCGUUGAAUGACGUGCUUGCACUGAUUUCAACAAUGAAGCGAGUGGCGAACUGGUGAGUAACACGUGGGGAAUCUGCCCAGAAGCAGGGGAUAACACUUGGAAACAGGUGCUAAUACCGUAUAACAACAAAAUCCGCAUGGAUUUUGUUUGAAAGGUGGCUUCGGCUAUCACUUCUGGAUGAUCCCGCGGCGUAUUAGUUAGUUGGUGAGGUAAAGGCCCACCAAGACGAUGAUACGUAGCCGACCUGAGAGGGUAAUCGGCCACAUUGGGACUGAGACACGGCCCAAACUCCUACGGGAGGCAGCAGUAGGGAAUCUUCCACAAUGGACGAAAGUCUGAUGGAGCAAUGCCGCGUGAGUGAAGAAGGGUUUCGGCUCGUAAAACUCUGUUGUUAAAGAAGAACACCUUUGAGAGUAACUGUUCAAGGGUUGACGGUAUUUAACCAGAAAGCCACGGCUAACUACGUGCCAGCAGCCGCGGUAAUACGUAGGUGGCAAGCGUUGUCCGGAUUUAUUGGGCGUAAAGCGAGCGCAGGCGGUUUUUUAAGUCUGAUGUGAAAGCCUUCGGCUUAACCGGAGAAGUGCAUCGGAAACUGGGAGACUUGAGUGCAGAAGAGGACAGUGGAACUCCAUGUGUAGCGGUGGAAUGCGUAGAUAUAUGGAAGAACACCAGUGGCGAAGGCGGCUGUCUAGUCUGUAACUGACGCUGAGGC
rnacentral:rRNA from 1 species